rnacentral:lncRNA from 1 species
GAUGGAUAGGUAGAUGAGUAGAGGAGUGGGUGGGUGGUGGGUGGAUGGGAGGGUGAAGGGAUAGAUGGACAAGUGGGUGGAUGGGUGGGUGGAGGGAGGGAGGGAGGGAGGGAGGGAUGGAUAGGUAGAUGAGUAGAGGAGUGGGUGGGUGGUGGGUGGAUGGGAGGGUGAAGGGAUAGAUGGACAAGUGGGUGGAUGGGUAGGUGGAGGGAGGGAGGGAGGGAGGGAUGGAUGGAUGGAUGGAUGGAUGGAUGGAUGGAUGGAUGGAUGGAUGGAUGGAUGGAUGGAUGGAUGGAUGGAUGGAUGGAUGGAUGGAUGGAUGGAUGGAUGGAUGGAUGGAUGGAUGGAUGGAUGGAUGGAUGGAUGGAUGGAUGGAUGGAUGGAUGGAUGGAUGGAUGGAUGGAUGGAUGGAUGGAUGGAUGGAUGGAUGGAUGGAUGGAUAGAGGGAGGGAGAGAGGUAUGGAUGGAUGGAUGGAUGGAUGGAUAGGUAGAUGAGUAGAGGAGUGGGUGGGUGGGCGGAUGGGAGGAUGGAAGGAUAGAGGGACAGGUAGGUGGGCGGGUGGGUGGAUAUGUGGAUACGUAGACGGGGGGAUGGAUCAAGGUGUUGACAGGCAGGUGUUGUCUCGGGCCCGACUCUGCAAGAGGAGGCAGGUCUGUCCACCUGGAGCCCGGAGUCCUUUAGGAGCGUUUGAGAUUCUGAGGUUGCAGAUCCUGACUGGCCCCUCACGGACUCCCCAGGCUCCAGAGGAUUUGCAAUGCUUAUUCCCAGCAGCAAGGAGAAAGUGCUCCAGGAUGCCAUUCCGAAGCACAUUAGAAGGUUUGCUGAUGCCUGAUAUCUUCCGUCCCAAGCAAAUCAGUCAGCUGUGUGGCCCCACUACUUGGCUUUUGUUCUUGGAUCCAUGUGCCCUGUACGUUCUCUCUCUCUGCCACCUCCCCGUGUCUUCCCGCUGGAAAACUAGCCAUCCUGAAAGAUCGUUUCAAACCCGCCUGUGACGAGGAUAUGCUGAUCCCCCCCUUCUGGCUGACGCCCAGGUAGGUCUCUCUCCCCUCCCACCCCUAGGGGAUCCUCACGGACAGGGGCUGAUUCAUUCCUGGGUCUCUAGCGCUUGACAUAGUCUCUGGUUAAAGUUUGCUGAAUUGCACGGACUGCUGUCAUUGCUGUGUGGGUAAAAUGCUUCCAGGCUUCUUGGGGUUUUUUUUCCCUGACUCACCACAAAACCUGAAAACUAGCCAGGAAGCGUGGGGUUGGGAGUGGGGGGUGAGGAUCAGGUGGAGUGCAGAGAGCUGAGCUCAUGGCCGGAGGGGGGGGGGGAUGGGGCCAUGAUCCUGAUGGUUCUGAUGAUCCUAGGGGCUUCCCCCAGGGCAGAAUCACUGCACGUGACCAUGGAGGGCAAAGUAGGACCAGGAGGACACAGCAUGAUUCUGCUGAGUGGGGACCUCACUUUGGAGUCAGUUGGAGUCAGCCUGGUGGAGAGUGAGUUCCCCAUGCUGGGAGGUAAGCAAGCCGAGGUUGGAUCAAGAAUAUUAUGGAGGAGACUCCUGUCCUCUCGGGACGCUGUACUGGAUGAGCCUCCGACCUGGGGCUCUUGGGGGCCUGGGGUUCUCUCAGGGCAAUGACCAGGCGCUUCGGUGCCAGGCACGAUCUGGGGGUUUGGGGAGAAGAGAGCACUAUCCUUGCUGGCCGCUGAAGAACCCCCUCGCUUCCUGCGCCCCCCCCCCCCCCCCCCCGUGUCUCACCCUGCUGCCCGCCGGCCGUGUGUGCCAGCAUCUCCAGGGCUUCCCGGACAGAACCUGAGGCCUGAGGCAGGGCCCUGGGACCCAGCAGCCGGGAGCCGCACAGUUCUCCAUGGAGCCCCACAGUUCGUCACAAAAUCAAUGACUUCACGGAGCUUCGGGGACUCUGGCCACCGUCCCCCGUGCUCUCCGCCCUGGAAACCCCCAACUCCGGGCAUGUGUUUAGAGCUUGCCUUCUUCCGGGAAAGCUUUGAGGUUCUUUAAUGAUAAUUCGGCCUCACAUUGGUGCGGCAUGAAAAACCCACAGCGCACUGUGGUCGAGAGUCCGGCCUCAGAGCCUGCUGUGACCACCGGGGGCAAGUUGCUUAACCUUCCCAACAGGGCCACAAAGGACUCAGGUUUCUAAUCCGGCUCCAGAUUUGGGGCCUUGCUGCUACCACUUCUUGGCUGUGUGAGCUUGGUGAACAUUUUGGGCUCCCCCCAGGACGUGCUCAGGGUUCUCUAAGAGCACACGGAAACUCACAAGGGCCCCGUGGACACGGGGAGCUGCCGUCAUCAGGAAGAGACCAGCCCCUCCUCGCCCUGUGGAGCUGAUGACAGGGCCAGCCUGUAAUGCGCCCUCCUCCCUGCUGGCUGCCUCAUGACUUGUGAAAAGAUGCCAGCCCUCAGUUUUGGGGCCUUUAAAUGAGCCACAAAAGCAGAACCACCCCUUUCCUUAAGCACAGGAGACGGUCAAGGGCGGUUGCUUGGACGUAAUGUGGAGCCACCAAAGGCUGGCCCUGCCCCAUCUCUGAGCCUCCCUGCCACCCCCACCCAGUCACACCCCAGGAGGCACGACUUGGGUGCUACAGGGGGGCCAUUGGGGCCUUCCUACUGGGCAGACACGCCCUCAAGCCUCAGUUCUGCCACUGCUCUGAGACGUGGUGUCGCCUCUCAGUGUUCCCAUCUGUGAAAUGGGACUCAGAAAACCUUUCUUGGGAAGUUGAUGAGGGAGAUGCAUAGAGAAUGCCAGGCUCAAAGUAUGUGCCCCUCCCCCCACCCAGUAGAAAACCCUCUGUUUUCCCUCCUGGUGCCCAGCCUUUUAAGGAGAAGGGAGGACCAGUCCAACCAGAUAAGCGUUAAGAUACUGGGAGACACACAUGUUGGGAGACACAGGCUCUGGUCCUCGGUGAGAGCUCCCUGAUCGUUCGCUCCUAAAUCAAGACAGGAGGCAGUGGCGAAAAAUAACAAUUAUAGCUAAUGCUUAGUUCUUCCACAAAUAUUUCAUUCCGCGCAUAGUUAUUGGGGGUCCACUGCACUGGGCACUGUUCCAGGUGCUGGGGGUACGGCAUGGAGGUCGCAUGGAAGCCAGGGCAGAAGACAAUACACAAAUAAAUAUAUAAUAUAAUGUCA